UAAAUAAUGUUUUUCCAUUAUUAAGAACAAAGAAUUAAUACAUUUAGAUAUUUGAAGGAAAUCAAAAUUAAAUAAUGCCUUAGGAUAAUAAAGAGCAAGCUCUACGAGCUUAUUGGGGGCCACAACAUUCUUCACAUUUUCCAUUAUUGCCAUUGUGGAGUCCGCCAUAAACAAUAUAGUCAAAGAUCCAUCCAUUGAAUUGUUGUGCUAGUAGUGACCCUUGCUCAACUCACCUCCAUUUUUCACUGUAACUGUCUUAUCAAUGUCAUCACCCAUAAACUCAAAAAUAUCAAAGAGGUCAUAGUUCAUCGACAAGCUUUAGAAGUGCUAGAUAGAGGGUACUCCUACUAGCAUCGACCGCCUAUAUACCAAACUCAUCCAAAUUGAGGUCAAAAGUUUCAAAGGGUAAUAGGUUGUCAAACUUUGCAACAAAGUAGAAAGACGUGGUGAUAGGACCCAUUCUUUAAAAUUAACACUAAAUCCAUAGUUGUUGGUGGGUUUUCAAUGAACUUUAGGUUAGUUGACAAAUUGAAAGUUCAUCAAGAUUUAGUUUUCGUGGACUUAACAUUGAUUUUAGUUUUUCAAUGGAUCCAAAGUUCAUUGAAAACUCAUUGAGAAUAAUGGACAUAAAGCAAAUAUUAGAUAAUGGGUCCUACCACUAAUGUUCUCACUCAUACACCUCUUUCUACUUUGUUGCAAAGUUUGACAACCUUCUAUCCUUUGACAUUUUUGACCUCAAUCCAAAUGAGUCUGGUAGGCGACCGAGGCUAGUAGGAGUGUCCUUUGUUGGGCACUUUCGAGGCUUGUCGAUGGACUACAGCUUUUUUGAUACUCUUAAGUUUAUCGAUGAUGAUGUAGAUAAAAGAGUCACUUUGAAAAGCAGAGCG
rnacentral:lncRNA from 1 species